GCUUAGCCGUAAACCCAAGUAAUUAAUAAACAAAAUUACUCGCCAGAGUACUACAAGCAAAAGCUUAAAACUCAAAGGACUUGGCGGUACUUCACAUCCCUC
rnacentral:rRNA from 1 species